AUACGGAGGAUGCGAGCGUUAUCCGGAUUUAUUGGGUUUAAAGGGUGCGUAGGCUGGUUGUUAAGUCAGCGGUGAAAUUUCGGGGCUCAACCCCGGCAGUGCCGUUGAAACUGGGAGCCUUGAGUACAGAGCAAGUAAGCGGAAUUUGUGGUGUAGCGGUGAAAUGCAUAGAUAUCACGAGGAAUGCCGAUUGCGCAAGCAGCUUACUGUCUUGUCACUGACGCUAAAGCACGAAAGCGUGGGUAUCGAACAGGAUUAGAUACCCUGGUAGUCCACGCCGUAAACUAUGAUUACUAGCUGUUUGCGAUAUAUUGUAAGCGGCACAGCGAAAGCGUUAAGUAAUCCACCUGGGGAGUACGCCGGCAACGGUGAA
rnacentral:rRNA from 1 species